rnacentral:rRNA from 1 species
UACGAAGGGUGCAAGCGUUACUCGGAAUUACUGGGCGUAAAGCGUGCGUAGGUGGUUUGUUAAGUCUGAUGUGAAAGCCCUGGGCUCAACCUGGGAACGGCAUUGGAAACUGGCUUACUAGAGUGCGGUAGAGGGGUGUGGAAUUCCCGGUGUAGCAGUGAAAUGCGUAGAUAUCGGGAGGAACACCGGUGGCGAAGGCGGGUCUCUGGGCCGUAACUGACGCUGAGGAGCGAAAGCGUGGGGAGCAAACAGG